rnacentral:rRNA from 1 species
AUUGAACGCUGGCGGCAUGCUUUACACAUGCAAGUCGAACGGUAACAGGCCGCAAGGUGCUGACGAGUGGCGAACGGGUGAGUAAUGCAUCGGAACGUGCCCAGUCGUGGGGGAUAACUGCUCGAAAGAGCAGCUAAUACCGCAUACGAUCUAUGGAUGAAAGCGGGGGACCGUAAGGCCUCGCGCGAUUGGAGCGGCCGAUGUCAGAUUAGGUAGUUGGUGGGGUAAAGGCUCACCAAGCCAACGAUCUGUAGCUGGUCUGAGAAGACGACCAGCCACCCUGGGACUGAGACACGGCCCAGACUCCUACGGGAGGCAGCAGUGGGGAAUUUUGGACAAUGGGGGCAACCCUGAUUCAGCAAUGCCGCGUGCAGGAAGAAGGCCUUCGGGUUGUAAACUGCUUUUGUACGGAACGAAACGGUCUAGGUUAAUACCCUGGUCUAAUGACGGUACCGUAAGAAUAAGCACCGGCUAACUACGUGCCAGCCGCCGCCGUAA